rnacentral:rRNA from 1 species
UACGGAGGGUGCAAGCGUUAUCCGGAUUCACUGGGUUUAAAGGGUGCGUAGGUGGGCAGGUAAGUCAGUGGUGAAAUCUCCGGGCUUAACCCGGAGACUGCCGUUGAUACUAUCUGUCUUGAAUGUAGUGGAGGUGAGCGGAAUAUGUCAUGUAGCGGUGAAAUGCUUAGAUAUGACAUAGAACAUCGAUUGCGAAGGCAGCUCGCUACACUAUGAUUGACACUGAGGCACGAAAGCGUGGGGAUCAAACAGG